rnacentral:rRNA from 1 species
GACGAACGCUGGCGGCGUGCUUAAUACAUGCAAGUCGAACGGAAAGGCCCUGCUUUUGUGGGGUGCUCGAGUGGCGAACGGGUGUGUAACACGUGUGUAACCUGCCCUUGACUUUGGGAAAACUUCAGGAUACUGGGGCUCAUACCGGAUAGGAGCUCCUGCUGCAUGGUGGGGGUUGGAAAGUUUCGGCGGUUGGGGAUGGACUCGCGGCAUAUCAGCUUGUUGGUGGGGUAGUGGCUUACCACGGCUUUGACGGCUACACGGCCUGAGAGUGUGACCGGCCACAUUGGUACUGAGAUACGGCCCAGACUCCUGCGGGAGGCAGCAGUGGGGAAUAUUGCACAAUGGGCGGAAGCCUCAUGCAGCAACGGCGCGUGCGGGAUGACGGCCUUCGGGUUGUAAGCCGUUUUCGCCUGUGACGAAGCGUGGUUGACGGUAAUGUGUAAAGAAGCACCGGCUAAGUACGUG